UACAUGUGGGGCAAGCGUUGUUCGGAAUUACUGGGCAUAAAGGGUGCGUAGGCGGCUUGUUAAGUCAGGGGUGAAAGUUUUCGGCCCAACCGGAAAAUUGCCUUUGAUACUGGCGAGCUCGAGUGCGUGAGGGGUAACCGGAACGAGCAGUGUAGCGGUGAAAUGCGUAGAUAUUGCUCGGAAGGCCAACGGCGGAGGCAGGUUACUGGUACGCAACUGACGCUGAGGCACGAAAGCGUGGGGAGCAAACAGG
rnacentral:rRNA from 1 species